AAGAGUAAUGGAGGGAGUUAAAGCAAAAGAUCCUGUGGAAGUCACUUUCACUUUAUAUCCAUUAGGAAGGGUUACAAGAUAAGGUACAGGUAAAGGUGUGAUAUUAAAGAGUAAGUUCUUAUUAGAUGUCAUAUGAUCAGAAGCCCCGGAAUCUAUUAUCCAAUAGACAGAAGCAAUAUGAGUAAGUAGACAAAGUUUGGAAUCAGAAACAGGACUCUCAGUUAGCAUAGUACCAGCAAAAUUGGCAGCACACAUAGGAGGAGAGGUCUGAGCAGUGGAGUCACCCAACUUGGACUGUUGCAGCAGAGUCAUCAGUUGAUCAUAUUGUUGACUACUCAAUCCAGGGAUUACAGAACCAUGUCCAUCCACAUUUGGGACAGAUGAAUUACCCUCUAUGUGAUUUCCAGGAGCAUUAGAAGUGUAUCCAUCAGAAGAGGGGAAGGAGGUGAAAUCAGCACCAGUGGUUACAUGGGCAGCAACAGUUCUCUUCCCUUUGUUAAACCUGGUGCUGUGUGGAAAUCCAUGAAGUUUGUAACACUUAUCAAUUAAGUGCCCAGAUUUCUUGCAAUAUAUACAGAAGAGAGGUCCUCUAGAUUGGUCAAAAGUAACUCUCUGGGCAUACUGUCUGAGAGGAGAAGAGUUGGAAAGAGAGGUCCUCUGGAUUGGUCAAAAGUAACAUUCUGGGCAUACUGUCUGAGAGGAGGAGAGUUGGGCACUGCAACUUGACUGAAAGAAGGUGUAGAAUUUUUGUUUGAAUUGACACUGAAGGACAUAGAAUCAGGAUUGAACUGGGAAAUAGACUGAACUUGUCUUUGUUU
rnacentral:lncRNA from 1 species